rnacentral:rRNA from 1 species
CCUACGGGUGGCUGCAGUGGGGAAUAUUGCACGAUGGGCGCAAGCCUGAUGCAGCCAUGCCGCGUGUGUGAAGAAGGCCUUCGGGUUGUAAAGCACUUUCAGCGGGGAGGAAGGCGUUAAGGUUAAUAACCUUGUCGAUUGACGUUACCCGCAGAAGAAGCACCGGCUAACUCCGUGCCAGCAGCCGCGGUAAUACGGAGGGUGCAAGCGUUAAUCGGAAUUACUGGGCGUAAAGCGCACGCAGGCGGUCUGUCAAGUCGGAUGUGAAAUCCCCGGGCUCAACCUGGGAACUGCAUUCGAAACUGGCAGGCUAGAGUCUUGUAGAGGGGGGUAGAAUUCCAGGUGUAGCGGUGAAAUGCGUAGAGAUCUGGAGGAAUACCGGUGGCGAAGGCGGCCCCCUGGACAAAGACUGACGCUCAGGUGCGAAAGCGUGGGGAGCAAACAGGAUUAGAUACCCGGGUAGUC